UACGUAGGUGGCAAGCGUUAUCCGGAAUUAUUGGGCGUAAAGCGCGCGCAGGCGGUUUCUUAAGUCUGAUGUGAAAGCCCACGGCUCAACCGUGGAGGGUCAUUGGAAACUGGGGAACUUGAGUGCAGAAGAGAAAAGCGGAAUUCCACGUGUAGCGGUGAAAUGGCGUAGAGAUGUGGAGGAACACCAGUGGCGAAGGCGGCUUUUGGUCUGUAACUGACGCUGAGGCGCGAAAGCGUGGGAGCAACAGG
rnacentral:rRNA from 1 species